rnacentral:rRNA from 1 species
AUACGUAGGUGACAAGCGUUAUCCGGAUUUACUGGGCGUAAAGGGCGUGUAGGCGGCCUGAUAAGUCUGGAGUGAAAGUCCUGCUUUCCAGGUGGGAAUUGCUUUGGCGACUGUCGGGCUUGAGUGCGGAAGAGGUACGUGGAAUUCCCAGUGUAGCGGUGAAAUGUGUAGAGAUUGGGAGGAAAACCAGUGGCGAAGGCGACUUACUGGGCCGUAACUGACGCUGAGGCGCGAAAGCGUGGGGAGCGAACAGGAUUAGAUACCCUGGUAGUCCACGCGGUAAACGAUGAAUGCUAGGUGUAGGGGGUAUCGACCCCUCCUGUGCCGGAGUAAACACAAUAAGCAUUCCGCCUGGGGAGUACGGCCGCAAGGUUGAAACUCAAAGGAAUUGACGGGG